UAGACGACAAGUCCAUCGAAGUAGGAUCUGUUCUGCCUUCCGAUGAGCCUCCUACUUUGCUUCCACCAAUUGUAAAUCGAGGAUGUCUCAAUCGCUGUCAGCAGAUGAUGCAGAUCGAAUCAUGUAGCCAGGCGGCUCCAUAUUGCAUCGGUGUAUGUGCAGUCUUUACAUAAAUGUAUCAGCAUCUCUGGGGCCAUCUUGCAUAGCUUGCAAAUCGGGUCGUUCGGCUAGUUCCGCUUUGUCAAAUUAUCUGUCGUUAGGAUUUUCCUGUGUAGUAGUAUCAAGCAAAGAUCCUGCAUUUAGGUUCUGUUUUAGCCUUCCAUAUCGAAGUGACGUUGAUUUUCCUUGUCCGGUCUUAGACCUGGUUGAGGUACGCAAUUUUUGUUGAGUAUUCUUCAUUCUCUCAUUCUCUGUCUUCCGUUUCCGGAUUGAUUUGUUGCAUUUGGAUUUCCUCCUAAAAAUUUGCGGAUUCUCUGAUCCCAUCUCCUGUUGCAGGUGCAGUUUAAUCCUCCGUUACCCUCUCCCGAGGAGGCAAGAGGCCAUGGAUCGCGGGCGGGAAGCCAGCAUUGCGGAUAAUUUCAGCGGUAAAAAAAUGACCCGUACAGACAAACAGUACACAGUCUCCGAUGCAUGCAGAACGAACCAAUCGGAGAAGCCAGCGCAGGGCAAGUGCACAUGUGUCGGUGCCCGGUGUGGUCCACGUGGACCCGGUUCCAGCCGUGCACUCACCUUGGGCUCCUCGAUAUCUGCUGUACCUUUUGUUUUUUGAUUUUGAAGCAAGCCCCCCUCUCGAUCUUUUUGUUUGCAUCAAAGCCAAUUCCAACAGCUGGGAUUGGGAAGGGGUGCAGUGCACCACCUAGGGACCAUACAUGAGUUGUUGAACUCUCCGGCCGGAUUCCAACGACGAAUA
rnacentral:lncRNA from 1 species